UGUGGCCUACGGGAGGCAGCAGUGAGGAAUAUUGGUCAAUGGGCGCGAGCCUGAACCAGCCAAGUCGCGUGAGGGAAGACGGUCCUAUGGAUUGUAAACCUCUUUUGUCAGGGAGCAAGGUGCAGGUCGGGACCUGCUGUGAGAGUACCUGAAGAAAAAGCAUCGGCUAACUCCGUGCCAGCAGCCGCGGUAAUACGGAGGAUGCGAGCGUUAUCCGGAUUUAUUGGGUUUAAAGGGUGCGCAGGCGGAGGCACAAGUCAGCGGUAAAAUCGCG
rnacentral:rRNA from 1 species